AUCCAGCUGACCAGUUCCAAAUAGGACAAAAGGCGCGUCCUGGAU
rfam:Schistosoma rodhaini strain Burundi genome assembly, scaffold: SROB_scaffold0022471